GGUUGAUCAGCAUCACCUCUGACUGGAGGGGUUAGCAUCAAAAGAUAAGGAGAGAGACGUAGGCAAAGCUGGGUGGCCCUGCAGGGAGCAGGCUGGACCUGGCCAGGGCGCUGCUGGCUUGAGACCUCUCCACCGGCCUCCCCAUCUUUUACCACUGUUCACUGAACGCCUUGCCUGGGUACUCACGCCUCCCCAGACAGCCAGCAGUACGAACAUCCCUGUGGGCCAGAAGGAUAAUGAAGGAUAACUCCAGGAGUGAGGAACGAAGGCACGAAUUAGCAUAAAUAAUGAAUAGUCGUGAGUUGAUGCUCACAGUUGCUACAAGAA